UUCCUACGGGGGGCAGCAGUGGGGAAUAUUGCACAAUGGGGGAAACCCUGAUGCAGCAACGCCGCGUGAGUGAGGAAGUAUUUCGGUAUGUAAAGCUCUAUCAGCAGGGAAUAGAAAAGAAGGUACCUGAAAAAGAAGCCCCGGCUAACUACGUGCCAGCAGCCGCGGUAAUACGUAGGGGGCAAGCGUUAUCCGGAUUUACUGGGUGUAAAGGGAGCGUAGACGGCGGUGCAAGCCAGAUGUGAAAGCCCGGGGCUCAACCCCGGGACUGCAUUUGGAACUGUGCUGCUAGAGUGUCGGAGAGG
rnacentral:rRNA from 1 species